rnacentral:rRNA from 1 species
AGGGUUCGAUUAUGGCUCAGGACGAACGCUGGCGGCGUGCUUAACACAUGCAAGUCGAACGAGAAUCUGUGGAAAGAGGAUUCGUCCAAUUGAAGCAGAGGACAGUGGCGGACGGGUGAGUAACGCGUGAGGAACCUGCCUUUCAGAGGGGGACAACAGUUGGAAACGACUGCUAAUACCGCAUGACACAUAGGUGUCGCAUGGCACUUAUGUCAAAGAUUUAUCGCUGAAAGAUGGCCUCGCGUCUGAUUAGCUAGUUGGUGAGGUAACGGCCCACCAAGGCGACGAUCAGUAGCCGGACUGAGAGGUUGAACGGCCACAUUGGGACUGAGAUACGGCCCAG